UAAAAAAUGGCACUCCGAGCUGCAUGACCUAAGGGCAACUAUGGUCUUGCAGCCUGAACCUAGGUUCACAGGGCAGUGAAAGAAAUUUUACUGCCUCCACUACUUGGGAAGGAUGCGCUUCAUAAGUUU
rnacentral:ncRNA from 1 species